GAUGAACGCUGGCGGCGUGCUUAACACAUUCAAGUCGAACGGAAAGGCCCAAGCUUGCUUGGGUACUCGAGUGGCGAACGGGUGAGUAACACGUGGGUGAUCUGCCCUGCACUUCGGUAUAAUCCUGGGAAACUGGGUCUAAUACCGGAUAGGACGAUGGUUUGGAUGCCAUUGUGGAAAGUUUUUUCGGUGUGGGAUGAGCUCGCGGCCUAUCAGCUUGUUGGUGGGGUAAUGGCCUACCAAGGCGUCGACGGGUAGCCGGCCUGAGAGGGUGUACGGCCAGAUUGGGAUGGAGAUACAGCCCAGACUCGGACGGGAGGCAGCAGUGGGGAAUAUUGCACAAUGGGCGCAAGCGUGAGGGAGCGAGGCCGCGUGGGGGAUGACGGCCUUAGGGUGGUAAACUCCUUUCGCUAGGGACGAAGCGUUUUUGUGACGGUACCUGGAGAAGAAGCACCGGCUAACUACGUG
rnacentral:rRNA from 1 species